AUUGAACGCUGGCGGCAGGCUUAACACAUGCAAGUCGAGCGGAGUGAUGGUGCUUGCACUAUCACUUAGCGGCGGACGGGUGAGUAAUGCUUAGGAAUCUGCCUAUUAGUGGGGGACAACAUCUCGAAAGGGAUGCUAAUACCGCAUACGUCCUACGGGAGAAAGCAGGGGAUCACUUGUGACCUUGCGCUAAUAGAUGAGCCUAAGUCGGAUUAGCUAGUUGGUGGGGUAAAGGCCUACCAAGGCGACGAUCUGUAGCGGGUCUGAGAGGAUGAUCCGCAACACUGGGACUGAGACACGGCCCAGACUCCUACGGGAGGCAGCAGUGGGGAAUAUUGGACAAUGGGGGGAACCCUGAUCCAGCCAUGCCGCGUGUGUGAAGAAGGCCUUAUGGUUGUAAAGCACUUUAAGCGAGGAGGAGGCUCUUUUGGUUAAUACCCAAGAUGAGUGGACGUUACUCGCAGAAUAAGCACCGGCUAACUCCGUGCCAGCCGCCGCGGUAA
rnacentral:rRNA from 1 species